ensembl:lncRNA
UUUGUAAUAUGACAUGUUGUCAAGCCAUGGUGACAUUUUCUUGACAAAGUGCUGGUUCAUCUAACUAUAGUUAUAUUUUUAAUUAUUAACCAGUUCCUUUUUUUUUUCUUUAGAACUAAGAAAUUACAGAGAAUGCUGACAGUAAGGUUUCCAUGCCACAAAAGCCAAAAGUAUUUUUCCAGCAAAAUGUCAACUUUGCAUCCCUCUACAUUCUGUUGUGCCUGAUGCCAUCAUAUUUUCUCAUAUCAGAGUUUUUGAAAUUGGCCAGGCAGUUCCAGACAAAAACACAUUUGUAGCUGGGCCCGAUGACAGAAGUAGCUGUGGCUUCCAGCUGUGUGUUAACACAAUAGCCUUAACUCUUUGGCCGGACUCUGGAUGGGUCCCUGGGGAACAGCUCUGCUUUUUAAAGCCACAGGAGCAGUCCCAGGUAUCACAAUGAGGAAUGCUGUUUGUAACUGUUCUGGAAAACAGCUGAGAGGAACACAGCGGAGGACAUGAGACGUUUGAAGAGCUAUCUUAAGUGGUGAUGGGGAGGUGGAGUUUCCAGGAAGAUGGACAUAAACCAAAGCAUCGCUGACAACAUUAACAUGACCUGCCACAGCAUCGCAGUUUUAAGCUGAAAUUACAUAUAACACACACACACACACACACACACACACACACACACACACACACACACACAAGAUGACAUACACCCUUACAAAUAUGUCCACUGUGCAAACAUAUUUGCUGUUAUAUUGAAAAAUGCUCUAAACUUGACAGUGAAACACUUCCUUUUUUUCCUUGUCCUUUUUUGCACUUAAAUUCUGAAGUCUCCCUUUGAGAGCUAAAAUGUGCAAGUGCUCUCACUCCAAGCCAACAUCUCUAAGUGUUACAUAUUUGUGGUUGCACUGGAAAACCACAAUUUAUGAAUUUUGUUGAAUUACUGAAUGUUGAGUAUUUGUCAACUUAGUUAAGUAAAUCUCAGACUGCCAGUGACCAAAGUCCAGACCUGAAGCAAGAACAAGUGUAGUUAUUUAAUUAGCACAGUUACCAAAAACUGUAUCCUAGGUCAAAUCUAUACUGAAGUGAUUAGGAUUUUUAAUUAUAAAUAAAGUCAAACCAAUAUUUAUUUAGACUCCUUCAACAUUUCACACAUUAUCACAGUUUAUUUGCUAUAGUUUAGAAAAUGGUAAUAAAAUAUGACAAGAACAAAGUGUCUGAAUAAUUUUGGUCCCAAAUUUUUAUCAGUUUUACCGGUAGUCCACUGUUUGAAGAAUUUUUGAGUAUAACAUGUCACAGUUUACUUUAUUUUGCUAUCCUCACUUAUAUUAAUGAACUGUAGUAUCCUGCACCCACUAAUACAAUAAUAAUAAUAAUAAUAAUAAUAAUAAUAAUUAUUAUUAUUAUUAUUAUUAUUAUUAUUAUUAUUAUUAUUUCUGGUGUCUGAAUAUUUUUUUGAAAAUAUUUAAAUGUUUUAUUAUUUAGAAGUUUUAUGUGUGUU